GAGGCGGCUCACCCUGGCAAGUUCUAAGUACGAGCUCCCGUACAGUGAAACUGCGAAUGGCUCAUUAAAUCAGUUAUGGUUCAUUUGAUCGUACGUGUUACUUGGAUAACUGUGGAAAUGCUAGAGCUAAUACAUGCAUAAAGCGCCGACCUCGCGGGAGGCGUGCUUUUAUCAGACCAAAAACCGACCGGGCUUCGGCUCGUCGCUUUGGUGACUCUGGAUAACUUCGCGGAUCGCACGGUCGAGCACCGGCGACGGAUCAUUCAAGUGUCUGCCCUAUCAACUUUCGUCGGUAGGGUAUCGGCCUACCGAGGUUCUUACGGGUAACGGGGAAUCAGGGUUCGAUUCCGGAGAGGGAGCCUGAGAAACGGCUACCACAUCCAAGGAAGGCAGCAGGCGCGCAAAUUACCCAUUCCCGACGCGGGGAGGUAGUGACGAAAAAUAACAAUACAGGACUCUCAACGAGGCCCUGUAAUUGGAAUGAGUACACUUUAAAACCUUUAACGAGUAUCCAUUGGAGGGCAAGUCUGGUGCCAGCAGCCGCGGUAAUUCCUGCUACGGAAUUCUAUAGUUAAGUUGCUGAAGGAUCAAAGAUAAUCAAUUACUGUUGGGCGCAUGCGGCCGGUCCGUCGCAGUUCCUGCACUGGCCGUCUAGGCCCUACCUCCCCCUAAACCUCGGUGCUCCUGAAUGCCUGUGGGCGGGGGGUCGGACGUUGCUCUGCGAUCACUAGUUAGUAAUUGCAGUGCUCAAAGCCAGGAUCAUCGUAUAACUAAUGAUGCACGUCAAACUCGAACCUCUCCUCUCGGUCUAUCAUAGCUCGAUAUAUGCACUACGCAGUCAUCAUCAUGGCGCCCAUGCCUGCAUCAUUAGUGUGAGCUCAAGACGAAUACUCGAUGCAGUCCCUCGUAACGCAUUACUAAGACUCUGUCGCGAUGAUGUCUCACUAGGACGAUGCAAAUGUCAUGUACAAGAUAAGUCUACGCCGCAGUGUGCGAACUAAAUGUCUAAUAAUAGGAGAGCUGCUGUGCACUCCUCCUCGACUAUGGGAACUGGAUAUUGGUGGAGCGGAAGUGUCUGUACUAGACUACGUCGUCGAGACACACUUGAGCUACUAUCCAUACAAUAAUCGUA
rnacentral:rRNA from 1 species